rnacentral:rRNA from 1 species
GACGAACGCUGGCGGCGUGCCUAACACAUGCAAGUCGAGCGGGGUUGAGGCGAGAGGUAACUCGAACUUCUACCUAGCGGCGGACGGGUGAGUAACGCGUGGGCAACCUGCCUCAAGGUUUGGGAUAACAGCCCGAAAGGGCUGCUAAUACCGGAUAUGCCUAUGGCCUCGCAUGGGGCUAUGAGCAAAGGGGAAACCCGCCUUGAGAUGGGCCCGCGUCCCAUCAGCUAGUUGGUGAGGUAACAGCUCACCAAGGCGACGACGGGUAGCCGGCCUGAGAGGGUGACCGGCCACACUGGGACUGAGACACGGCCCAGACUCCUACGGGGGCAGCAGUGGGGGAUCUUGCACAAUGGGCGAAAGCCUGAUGCAGCGACGCCGCGUGAGCGAAGAAGGCCUUCGGGUUGUAAAGCUCUGUCUGGAGGGACGAACAAAAUGACGGUACCUCCGGAGGAAGCCACGGCUAACUACGUG